CCUGCCCACAUCCUCUCUUCUCUGCUUUGUUCUUUCGUCCUCUCUGUUUCUUUCCCCCACCAUGACGCCCCUUAAUUCGCCCCUCCCUCUCCCCACUCGAGUGCUGCAGAUCUGAGCCAAAAAUUAGUGGAUCUGGUUGUCCUUCCAAUCCCGAAGGAUGGCUUCUCUUAUCCAUCCAUCCUACGAUCAAUUGCAUCGUGGAUGGUUCAUGGCAGAUGAAGGAAGGGGUUUUGAUCAGCUUCACCUGAGGUCCGGUUCAGUUCAUGACAAGAUGGAGUAUGACGAGCGAUACACAGAGUAUAUCCGGAAGACCGGACUUCUCCCUUUCAUCUCACUCGUGUCUCGUGCCGAAGAUGAACCCUUGUGUGAUCACGGCACUCGUUGACCGAUGGUGCCCUGAGACACAUACUUUUCACUUCUAUGCUAGGGAGAUGACUGUCACUUUGAAUGAUGUUUCUCUGAUCAUUGGACUUCCUAUCAAAGGAGAGCCUAUUUGUUUUA